rnacentral:rRNA from 1 species
UACGAAGGGAGCUAGCGUUGUUCGGAAUUACUGGGCGUAAAGGGCGCGUAGGCGGCGUGAUAAGUCAGAUGUGAAAGCCCCGGGCUUAACCUGGGAACUGCAUAUGAUACUGUCAGGCUAGAGAUCGAGAGAGGAAAGUGGAAUUACGAGUGUAGAAGUGAAAUUCGUAGAUAUUCGUAGGAACACCGGUGGCGAAGGCGACUUUCUGGCUCGAUACUGACGCUAAAGCGCGAAAGCGUGGGGAGCAAACAGG